AGUUGGUCUGAGGGUUAUUGGUUAUUGUUUAGCUGAUUAACUAAUGUUAAUGUCUCACCUCCCCACCAAGCUCCAAAAUCCACACCUCACCAGCUUAAA
rnacentral:sRNA from 1 species